GAUGAAGAACGUAGCGAAAUGCGAUAAGUAAUGUGAAUUGCAGAAUUCAGUGAAUCAUCGAAUCUUUGAACGCACAUUGCGCCCCUUGGUAUUCCGAGGGGCAUGCCCGUUCGAGCGUCAUUAUACCCCUCAAGCCUAGCUUGGUGUUGGGGCCUGCUGUUACCGGCAGCCCUUAAAAUCAGUGGCGGUGCCAUCUGGCUCUAAGCGUAGUAAUACUUCUCGCUACAGGGUCCCGGUGGAUGCUUGCCAUCAACCCCUAAUUUUCUAUGGUUGACCUCGGAUCGGGUAGGGAUACCCGCUGAACUUAAGCAUAUCAAUAAGCGGGGA
rnacentral:misc_RNA from 1 species